CCUACGGGGGGCAGCAGUGGGGAAUCUUGCGCAAUGGGCGAAAGCCUGACGCAGCAAUGCCGCGUGCGGGACGAAGGCCCUAGGGUCGUAAACCGCUUUCAGUAGGGACGAAAAUGACGGUACCUGCAGAAGAAGCUCCGGCCAACUACGUGCCAGCAGCCGCGGUGAUACGUAGGGAGCAAGCGUUGUCCGGAAUUACUGGGCGUAAAGGGCUCGUAGGUGGUUGAGUAAGUCAGAUGUGAAAUCUCAGGGCCCAACCCUGAGCCUGCAUUUGAUACUGCUCUGACUAGAGUCCGGUAGGGGAGUGCGGAACUCCUGGUGUAGCGGUGAAAUGCGCAGAUAUCAGGAAGAACACCGACAGCGAAGGCAGCACUCUGGGCCGGUACUGACACUGAGGAGCGAAAGCGUGGGUAGCAAACAGGAUUAGAUACCCCAGUAGUC
rnacentral:rRNA from 1 species